rnacentral:rRNA from 1 species
AACGAACGCUGGCGGUAUGCUUAACACAUGCAAGUCGAACGAACAAAAUUGGGGCUUGCUCCAAUUUUAGUGAGUGGCAAACGGGUGAGUAACACGUGGGAAUCUACCUAUGAGUACGGAAUAACAUUUGGACACAGAUGCUAAUACCGUAUAUUCUUCAAGGAGGAAAGAUUUAUCGCUGAUAGAUGAGCCCGCGCAAGAUUAGGUAGUUGGGAGGGUAAUAGCCUACCAAGCCGACGAUCUUUAGCUGGUCUGAGAGGAUGAUCAGCCACGCUGGGACUGAGACACGGGCCAGACUCCUACGGGAGGCAGCAGUGGGGAAUAUUGGACAAUGGGCGAAAGCCUGAUCCAGCAAUACCGCGUGAAUGAUGAAGGCCUUAGGGUUGUAAAGUUCUUUUAGUUGGAAAGAUAAUGACGGUACCAACAGAAAAAGCCCCGGCUAACUCCGUGCCAGCAGCCGCCGUAA